rnacentral:rRNA from 1 species
UUGCUCUGUGGAUCAGUGGCGAACGGGUGAGUAACACGUGAGCAAUCUGCCCCUGACUCUGGGAUAAGCGCUGGAAACGGCGUCUAAUACCGGAUACGAGCUGCGAAGGCAUCUUCAGCAGCUGGAAAGAAUUUCGGUCAGGGAUGAGCUCGCGGCCUAUCAGCUUGUUGGUGAGGUAACGGCUCACCAAGGCGUCGACGGGUAGCCGGCCUGAGAGGGUGACCGGCCACACUGGGACUGAGACACGGCCCAGACUCCUACGGGAGGCAGCAGUGGGGAAUAUUGCACAAUGGGCGAAAGCCUGAUGCAGCAACGCCGCGUGAGGGACGACGGCCUUCGGGUUGUAAACCUCUUUUAGCAGGAAAGAAGCGAAAGUGACGGUACCUGCAGAAAAAGCGCCGGCUAACUACGUGCCAGCAGCCGCGGUAAUACGUAGGGCGCAAGCGUUAUCCGGAAUUAUUGGGCGUAAAGAGCUCGUAGGCGGUCUGUCGCGUCUGCUGUGAAAACCCGAGGCUCAACCUCGGGCCUGCAGUGGGUACGGGCAGACUAGAGUGCGGUAGGGGAGAUUGGAAUUCCUGGUGUAGCGGUGGAAUGCGCAGA